rnacentral:rRNA from 1 species
CUACGGGCCGCAGCAGUGGGGAAUAUUGCACAAUGGACGAAAGUCUGAUGCAGCAACGCCGCGUGGAGGAUGACACAUUUCGGUGCGUAAACUCCUUUUAUAUAGGAAGAUGAUGACGGUACUAUAUGAAUAAGCGCCGGCUAACUCCGUGCCAGCAGCCGCGGUAAUACGGAGGGCGCAAGCGUUACUCGGAAUCACUGGGCGUAAAGAGCGUGUAGGCGGAUUAAUAAGUUGGGAGUGAAAUCCUAUGGCUCAACCAUAGAACCGCUUCCAAAACUGUUAAUCUAGAGUAUGGGAGAGGUAGAUGGAAUUUCUGGUGUAGGGGUAAAAUCCGUAGAGAUCAGAAGGAAUACCGAUUGCGAAGGCGAUCUACUGGAACAUUACUGACGCUGAGACGCGAAAGCGUGGGGAGCAAACAGGAUUAGAUACCCCAGUAGUC